rnacentral:rRNA from 1 species
AUGGGAAGCGUCGGUGGAGAGGAGGAGUUCCCCGCCGGCGUGACGGGGGCGGACGCGGAGGUGGGUGCGCUAGUCUGGGUGCGCCGCCGCAACGGAUCCUGGUGGCCCGGUCGGAUCCUUGGCCAGGACGAGUUACCCGAGAACUGCGUGGUUCCACCGCGCUCUGCAGGCACACCCAUCAAGCUCCUCGGCCGCCCGGACGGCAGCAUUGACUGGUAUAAUCUCGAGAAAUCUAAGCGCGUGAAGGCAUUCCGGUGUGGUGAGUAUGAAGAGUGUAUAGAAAAAGCGAAAAUUUUGGCUCGCCAGCAAAAGAGGACCUACAAUGAAGGAAAGUAUGUUCGCAGGGAGGAUGCUAUUAUGCACGCCCUUGAAAUAGAAAGAUCUCGCUUUCCAGACGAAGAUGAGAUGGACGAUGCUAUGUGUGCAUCUGAGAACAGGUAUUCUGCAAAUUCUAGAAACAUAGGUGGAGCCAGCAGAAUAUCUUCUCGCGUAGAAAGGGGUCUGUAUGAUAUUGAAGAAAACUCAGCUCAAGGUUUAUCUGAAGGGUCAACAUUUUUCAAGGUGCCACAAAAUAUAUCCUCUUCAAGUACUAGGUAUGCUUCAUCUUCAAGGAAGAAACGGAAGGCAUCAAACAAAUUUGAGGACGACACAGUUAAAGGAUUCCGGCGUAUGAGAGACCUUAUUGGAUCAAACAGGACCCCCAAACAGAAGUCAAGUGCUGGUUCUUUUUCAAAUGGGUAUCAUGAUUUACCUUAUCUUGAAAGUGGGCCAAGCUUUGGCUAUGAGUUGCCUAGCACAAAUGGAAUAAACAAGAAUAAUCAGUCUCAUUCAUUGACAAAAAGGAAACGCUCCAAUAUUGGUCAAGCUUAUGAAAAUUCAAGAAAGAAAGAUAAGCGACGUCCUUUGUCAAAGUUAUGUAAAGAUUCAGCAGUGAAAGUUCCAACAUAUUGGGACGCUUCAGGACAGUCUUCUGUCCAGUCCCCUGGACACAAACUGUCGAACGUGUUCGAAUCAAAUUGGGGGGGAUUUUCUUUGCCAGGAAAUUUAAAUUGUUCUUACAGCUCGGGCACUUCAAGUGUGGAGACUUCAGCAGAUGCCUUAUGUACUAGUCACAGUGGUUCUACCAAAGCUUCUAAACUAAAGGAAGCUGAAGUCUUGGACGGGACUGGGUUUCUUAGUGAUGGCUGCUCUGAUGACGAUGAGUUUCUUGAUGCUCACCGUACUAUGGAGGAUGAUGUCACAGCAGAAGGCCAUUUGCACACACAUGGAUCGUGUGCAUCUGUAAAGGAUGAGACCUUAAAAGGCAAGACACAAAUUACUGACUAUAGCAGAGAACACAUACCCUUACUUCGUGAUAAUACAAGUUCCAAGAAGAAAAACAUACAGGUAACUCCAGUAAGCUGCAACAUGGAUGAAAGUUUGAUCGUGGAACAAUAUGGAAGGACAAUAAAAUGCAAGGAACAAGAUGAAGAUGUUACUGGGUUGGAUGCACGAGUCGGAAGUACUAGUGAUCCUGGGAGUAGCAUGAAAUUUGUGCUGGUUCCUCCAGAUGAUGGUGCUGGCAUUAUGGGGCAACAAUAUUAUGAAAGCGGACCCGAGCAUGAUGAGUCAUUUGAAACUCUAAGCAACCAUUCACACUCUGAAAAGGUUGGGGCAGCAUCCCCAUAUUAUGGGUCACCGCUUAAAGUAAUACUGCCUGAGCAGAAACCUGAUAUGAAAUCUACAAGAUGCCAUGUGGUAAAGCCAAUGAAGAGUGUACAAGCAGACUAUAAACUUUAUGAUGUUGAGUUGGCAGUCGAAGGAACCUACAAGGGCCACCGUGCACCUCUUGUUUCUCUGACAAGUAAAUGGAACCGUAAACCUGUUAUGGGGUUUCCUGUACCUGUUGUUGUUUUGGAUGAUAGUUGUCCUGUGGAAAGUAGAGAUAAUCACCAUCUGGCAAAGAACAGUCCUACCCACUUGCUAAAGAGGAGCGAAGUUGCAGAACCGCGCCAGCCAAGAUCGUCACAUUCAUCUAAAUCAAAACUUGGUGGCCGUAAAAAGGUCUCGGAGCAUGAUAUGGAUAAGUCCUGGCGGCCACAUACCAAGAAAUCAGCAUCUUCACCAAGGAAAAUGCGCAGGCUCUCAUCUUUUGGCAGCAGCCGCAGAGAAAGCACAAAGAGAAAUACUGUAGUUCGGAAAAUUGGCGGGCCAACUAUCGCGUGCAUCCCGGUUCGACUUGUUUUCAGUAGGAUCAAUGAAGCAUUAAGCUUUCAAGUGAGAUCAGAAAACACUAGCUGA